CGGCGGACGGCUGAGUAACGCGUGGGAACAUACCCCAAAGUGAGGGAUAACCGCCCGAAAGGGUGGCUAAUACCGCAUAUGGUCUUCGGAUUAAAGGAUUUAUCCGCUUUGGGAAUGGCCUGCGUACGAUUAGAUAGUUGGUGAGGUAAUGGCUCACCAAGUCUACGAUCGUUAACUGGUUUGAGAGGAUGAUCAGUCAGACUGGAACUGAGACACGGUCCAGACUCCUACGGGAGGCAGCAGUGAGGAAUCUUCCACAAUGGGCGAAAGCCUGAUGGAGCAACGCCGCGUGCAGGAUGAAGGCCUUCGGGUCGUAAACUGCUUUUAUAAGUGAAGAAUAUGACGGUAACUUAUGAAUAAGCACCGGCUAACUACGUGCCAGCAGCCGCGGUCAUACGUAGGGUGCAAGCAUUAUUCGGAGUGACUGGGCGUAAAGAGUUGCGUAGGUGGUUUGUUAAGUGAAUAGUGAAAUCUGGUGGCUCAACCAUACAGACUAUUAUUCAAACUGGCAAACUCGAGAAUAGCAGAGGUAACUGGAAUUUCUAGUGUAGGAGUGAAAUCCGUAGAUAUUAGAAGGAACACCAAUGGCGUAGGCAGGUUACUGGGCUAUUUCUGACACUGAGGCACGAAAGCGUGGGGAGCGAACGGGAUUAGAUACCCCGGUAGUCCACGCCGUAAACGAUGGAUACUAGCUGUUGGAGGUAUCGACCCCUUCAGUAGCGAAGCUAACGCGUUAA
rnacentral:rRNA from 1 species